rnacentral:rRNA from 1 species
AUGAACGCUGGCGGCGUGCUUCACACAUGCAAGUCGAGCGAGAAGUUUUGAAACGAUUCUUCGGAUGAAAUUUAAAAUGGAAAGCGGCGGACGGGUGAGUAACGCGUAGGCAACCUGCCCCAUACAAAGGGAUAGCAUUUGGAAACGAAUAUUAAUACCUUAUGAAACUUAACUAGUGCAUGCUAGGUAGGUCAAAGAUUUAUCGGUAUGGGAUGGGCCUGCGUCUGAUUAGCUAGUUGGUGAGGUAACGGCUCACCAAGGCGACGAUCAGUAGCCGACCUGAGAGGGUGAACGGCCACAUUGGAACUGAGACACGGUCCAAACUCCUACGGGAGGCAGCAGUGGGGAAUAUUGCACAAUGGGGGAAACCCUGAUGCAGCAACGCCGCGUGAACGAUGAAGGCCUUUGGGUCGUAAAGUUCUGUUCUAGGUGAUGAAAACUGACAGUAACCUAGGAGAAAGCCCCGGCUAACUCCGUG